UGAUCAUGCUUACCAAACAUUACAAGAAGUUCGACGGAAUAAGUAGCACGUUCAAAAUAAACUUUUCAAUAAUAAAUCCUUUGUUUGACAUGCCUGACAAAGCUUAAAAAUAUUUCUUUGUACUGGUGAAUUUUUGUUUAAAAUAUAUAAAUUAUUUUUAUCCCCUGUAAACUUGGAACGCAAUAUCUGAUGCUUAAUCCCUUAAAGUAACAUACACCUAAUUUUCAGUAUUAAUUUGAAAAGUAUUUUUGGGGGUAAGUCCCUGUAACCUUCCUCUUCUUCAUUACUAGACAGUGUGGUUUGAUCUCCCUGCUGCUUGGAGCCUUGCACUUACUAAGGCUGGCACUGGUUAAGAACUCCUAACAACAAAUAUACUAAAACUUAAACGAUUACUUACGUGGUGUCUUACAAACGUAUUGUUGCUUACAGUAUACUCUAUGAAACAUGGACGUCAGCAGGUGAACACCUCCAAACGAGAUGGGAAAGUCUAAAUAAUUUCUUCAAUAAUGACCCAUUUGUGAUGUCAGUAUGGGUUUAUCUGUUCUU